AGAGAGAGACAUGCGCGCAUAUCAAUAAGCGGAGGAAAAGAAACUAACAAGGAUUCCCCUAGUAACGGCGAGUGAAGCGGGAAGAGCUCAAAUUUGAAAUCUUAAAGGGUUUCCCUUUACGAAUUGUAGUUUAAAGAAGUGUUUUCUGUUGAGGUUUUGGUAAAAGUUCUUUGGAAUAGGACAUCAUAGAGGGUGAGAAUCCCGUAUUUGACCUUUACUUUCAACUUUGUGAUACACUUUCAAAGAGGUCGGAUUGUUUGGGAAUGCAGUCCAAAAUGGGUGGUAAAUUUCAUCUAAAGCUAAAUAUUGGCGAGAGACCGAUAGCGAACAAGUACCGUGAGGGAAAGAUGAAAAGAACUUUGAAAAGAGAGUUAAACAGUACGUGAAAUUGUCAAAAGGGAAGCGUUUGACACCAGUGUUGUUUUUCUGAAAAUCAAUUAAAGAACUGUUUAUGCUAAGUUGUUUAGACUUUAUCAGCUAAUCUGUUUAGUUUUGAGCUUUUCUUUAAUGCACUUUUCAGUUAACAAGUCAACAUCAAUUUCUUUUGCUGUAAAAAAGCUUGAGGAAGGUGGCUUGAGAUUCGUCUUAAGUGUUUAUAGCCUCUUGCCUAUGCAGUCGGAGAGAUUGAGGUCUGCAGCGUAGAUCCUUCGGGGCUGAAUGCAUUUGUGCUAAGUUAUAGCAUUUUAUAGACAACUUGUUGACUAUGAUUUGUCUUGUAGCUUACUCGCUUAUGUUAUUUUACCUACGCUUAGGAUGUUGACGCAUGAGAUAUACGC
rnacentral:rRNA from 1 species